UCGAUUCGAUAUCCCUUCGAUCUCCUCGGUGGAGUUAUUCCGAACGAAGCAAAAGGGCGAGGAAAGCUCUAGGAAAAUUGUGUAAAUGUUAUUACUAUCGAUUGCAAAAUGUAAUCUUCCUCGUCAAAACAAUUAAUAUCAAAAGCUGGGUUUGUUUGUUCAAAUAAUAUUCGUGUUUAGUCAAGUAUCGGGCCAACUUUAAUUACACACCUUUGUGUCGUAACCGUCAUCAAUCCUUCAAAGGAAACUCCAUUAACUAUAAAUUUUCAACCUUGGUGAAAGAAUGGGGUUGGGAGCGAACCGAGAACGAAUGCCGAGGUUUCAGUACUCGUCAGUAUACGACGAAAGCGUCCUACUUAAUCGACGAGAGUGCCUGCAGUCUGGUAAACUCGAGUUAACGAAAUUCUAUAAUAAAACAGUUCCAAUCCUAUAACAGGCUCUUGAAGUAGAGACUUUUCAUCAACACUGGUUUGUUAGGACAAUUAAAAUUAAACGUUUAAAAGCAGACGUUUGCACAGAUUGAAGUAAGUUGCUGAAAAUUAUGUCUUCAGUCUGCUAAGCACAUAAACCUCUCUAUUCACAUAUUCACUUUAUUCUCAACUUGUACAAAUAGACGUUUUUGAACAUAUGCGAAACACACUGGCCACGUUACUCAAGUCACCGUUAUAUGUAACGUGUUGCAAAAACUUUGACGUUGUUUGAAGACAUUUUGCAUAACGGAUGUUGCCGCUCAGUUUCCUGAGAAGUUUGCGCUAGUUCGGGUCAUAGUCGAUGUACCAAGCUUAUGGCCUCUAUUUCUAAUGUCAAACGAGUCGUUAUGCGAGAAAAUAUAGCGGUACUCACGAAUAUUUUAAGAAUGAGUGAGCGCCAGGAGAGAUUCAUACCAGGCUCAAUCAAGAAUCAAGACAAUACUGUUCAGGGUACUUAACUGACUCUCCUGAUCGGUGUAGAGGGGGUGCUAUUCCUCUUGAUAAGGAUGACCGGUGGCCGGCUUCGUAUAUAACCCGGCCAUAGUUGUUCACAGGAUCACGCACGAGGAAGCCCCGAAGUCCGUGGCGUCGGGUGUCAGAAGUAGCAAUCCCCUGCGAUCAAAAGAACCAGGCGAACUACAGACGAAACAGCAGCAAAAAUUUGCCCUGUACGAGAUACAUUUGAAAACCAGAGUCGCUUCUGAGGAUAUGCAUGCAUUGUCAA